rnacentral:tRNA from 1 species
GGGGCUGGGGCUGAGCGGCAGAGCGCUUGCCUAGCAUGCAUGAGGCACUGGGUUUGAUCCUCAGUCCCA